rnacentral:rRNA from 1 species
GAUUAUGGCUCAGGAUGAACGCUAGCGGCAGGCUUAACACAUGCAAGUCGAGGGGCAGCGCGAGUAGCAAUACUUGGCGGCGACCGGCGCAAGGGUGCGUAACGCGUGAGCAACAUGCCCGUAUCAGGGGGAUAAUCCAGGGAAACUUGGUCUAAUACCCCAUAGUAAUUUUGUAAGGCAUCUUAUAAGAUUUAAAGCUUUGGUGGAUACGGAUUGGCUCGCGUGACAUUAGCUGGAUGGUAAGGUAACGGCUUACCAUGGCUAUGAUGUCUAGGGGUUCUGAGAGGAAGGUCCCCCACACUGGAACUGAGACACGGUCCAGACUCCUACGGGAGGCAGCAGUGAGGAAUAUUGGACAAUGGAUGGAAAUCUGAUCCAGCCAUGCCGCGUGAAAAGGAAGAAGGUCCUAUGGAUUGUAAACUUCUUUUGUAUGGGAGCAAUAAGGCCUACGAGUAGGUUGAUGAGAGUACCAUACGAAUAAGCACCGGUUAACUCCGUGCCAGCAGCAGC